rnacentral:tRNA from 1 species
CGCAGGUUAGCUUAAUUAGAAAAGCGCGUGAUCCAUAAUCACGAAGAUGUCAGUGCGAGUCUGACACCUGCAA